rnacentral:ribozyme from 1 species
GUCAGUGUAUGUAGUGAUACUACCCCGAUGUGUCUAGAAGGAUAAUAUAGGCUCCAUACCCUAUUCCGAGUUAAUACCUCCACAUCGUCGACAGAAUGGUAACAUAUCUCUCCAGAUAUCUGAGCUUGGAUAUACGGGGAAACCCAACCCCUUGGGAAGAUGGGCUAAAUGGCUAAAUUGAGCGGA